rnacentral:rRNA from 1 species
GACGAACGCUGGCGGCGUGCUUAACACAUGCAAGUCGAACGGAAAGGCCCUGCUUUUGUGGGGUGCUCGAGUGGCGAACGGGUGAGUAACACGUGAGUAACCUGCCCUUGACUUUGGGAUAACUUCAGGAGACUGGGGCUAAUACCGGAUAGGAGCUCCUGCUGCAUGGUGGAGGUUGGAAAGUUUCGGCGGUUGGGGAUGGACUCGCGGCUUAUCAGCUUGUUGGUGGGGUAGUGGCUUACCAAGGCUUUGACGGGUAGCCGGCCUGAGAGGGUGACCGGCCACAUUGGGACUGAGAUACGGCCCAGACUCCUACGGGAGGCAGCAGUGGGGAAUAUUGCACAAUGGGCGGAAGCCUGAUGCAGCAACGCCGCGUGCGGGAUGACGGCCUUCGGGUUGUAAACCGCUUUCGCCUGUGACGAAGCGUGAGUGACGGUAAUGGGUAAAGAAGCACCGGCUAACUACGUG